AUGUACAUGCACAGUAGCAAAGGCGUACUUGCUGUCACUGUAAAUGUUAAUACGUUUAUUCUACUUUAUCGGAGAGCCUGAGUGAGGGCGAUCAAUUCAGCCUUUUGUGCUGAGGUGUUCGCUGGUAAAGCUUGAGCUUACAACACAUCUGUCUCCGUGGUAACAGCUGCACUGGCUUUUAAUACUUCCUGCUUGAGGAAGCUGCUCCUGUCUGUGAACACGGCGGCAUCUGCCUUUUCCAGGGGCACAUCUUGAAGAUCAGAUGGGCCAGUUUCGAUAGUUUCUAACAGUUCUUGACAGUCAUGAGCAGGAAUAGUGCAGUCUGGGUCAGGAUGUAGCGAAGCUGGAUUGAAACACUUUGUGGGAGAGAAAGUCAAACCAGGCUGAUCUAACAGUAAACUUCGAAACUGCAAGAUGCGAGCAUUUGACAUCUAUUUGCCAGAAGCACUUCGUAGUAAGGUCUUUACAGCAUGAGGAGCUGUAAGGGUUAAAUUUUGGCUUAGAGUUAACUUAUCAUCUUCUUGGACUAGGCUUGCUGUAGCCUCUAUGGCUCGCAGACAACUUGGCCAUCUAGAGGCCACAGGAUCUAGCCUCUUAGAUAAAUAGGCCACUGGGCAUCUUUAGGGUCUUAGAGCCUGAGUCAGCACCUCUUUAGCAACUCCUUGGCUUUUAUGGAGAUAUUAGGGAGGGCUAAAGCAGGGGCUUCAGUUAAUGCUAAAUUAAUGGGCUAUUUCAUUCUGCACUUCUUGGAUAGCCGCCACUAAGAUUUUUGUUUGUCUUUUGAAUGAUUUAUCAGCGGCCUUUUCAGCUGCCUGUGUUGUUUUUGUUUUUUAACCUUUUGAUGGUCAAAAGCUUUUUGGACUAUUUCUAAAAGCUGACUGAUAUUUAUUCUAGCAAAUCUUUCUAGUUUUUGGAGUUUCUUUUUAAUAUCCGGGGCUGUCUGAGCCACAAAUGCUAAAUUAAGAGCACGGCUAUUUUCGGGAGCUGCCGGGUCAAAAGGGGUGUAAAUCCGAUAAGCCUCCUGGAGGCGCUCUAAAAACGUUCUUGGUGACUUAUCGGGCCUUUGGACAACGUCGGUCGUCUUAGACAAGUUUAUGGGUUUCUGAGCGGCUCUUUUAAUACUUGCGAGGAGAUACCGGUGAAAAUCGUCUAAAGCUCUCUUUCUACUUGAGGAAUUUGGGUCCCAGUUAGGCCGGGUAGAGGGAAAGACCUCCUCAAGGAGGUUUCUAGCUUCUUCUUCCGGUCUAUUGGCUGAUGUGAGGAAGUACUUUUUGGCUUCUUUUUGGAUACGUUCUUUCUUUUCAGAGGUGAAAAGGGUUAAAAGGAGCUGUUGGCAAUCAUCUUAGGUGGGCGGGUGAGUCCAGAGUACAGACUCUGUCAGAGAGGUCAAAGCCUGGGGCUUUUCAGAGAAGGGAGGAUUAUGGGUUUUCUAAUUACAUAAGUCAGAAGUAGAAAAAGGGACACAAACUAAGAAGGGUGCUGAGCGCUCGUCACCUGGAGGGACUUGUGCCUCUCUCAGUGGUAGUAGAGGGGCUACUUCUUCCUGCCACGGUCAUGAUUGAGAGGCAACGGGUGGCGAGUCUACAGGGGACGUCGUCGAGCAGACAUGGGAUAACUUUAAGGGAGAAGACAGACAAGGGGAGGGGCUCCUGUGAUGGGAUCAGUCAGAUGCCUGCCUGGCCGCUCCCCCUGAGGGGACUUGGGCUCCUCUUAACAUUGGCAGGCUGGUAUAAACUUCCGGCUCAGAUCAAGCUAUGCCUGAUGCUGCCUUAAGCCUUAUGAGGUCGCCACGGAACCGCAGAAACUCCUGGAGGGCAGAGCUGUGUCUGCCAUCUUCAUCAUUGCAUUACCACCACCAAGCACAGUGCCUGGCACAAAAGAGUUGCUCAAUAAAUAAAUCAGGAUGAAUGGAUAAAUACAUGGAUAGGCACUUUGAGCUACAGAUGAGUUUAAAUACUUUGUGUUUUUCUUAGUCAAACAUGUGCAAUUAAGCAUGUGAUAAAUGAUAUGAUGACCACA
rnacentral:lncRNA from 1 species